rfam:Nicotiana sylvestris Nsyl_contig234522, whole genome shotgun sequence.
GAAGGAGGAGCUUAUCAAGUUAGCCAUAGUGACCUGCCUGAAACCAAGAAAGAAAAGGACUGUAUCAUCAAUAUAUAUUAGUAGUAUAUAUUAAUGACCUUUCCAAAAUGGCGCAGGCAAGUCAUCCUUGGCUACCAAAUAAGACUCCUUUC